CAAGCAAAUCGUUCUAUCGCUACCCGCUUUGGCGGGUGGAGGAAAGUCCGGGCAACACAGAGCAUCCUGCUUCCUAACGGGAAGGCGCCGCCAGCCGGCGACAGCAAGUGCCACAGAAAAUAUACCGCUUCGCAAGAAGUAAGGGUGAAAACGUGAGGUAAGGGCUCACGGCUUUUCCGGGCGACCGGGAUUGCGGUAAACCUCAGGAGUUGAAAGACCAAAUAGGUCCUGAACGCGGAGUUGCUCGCUCCCUCUCUCAAGAGAUUUCAGGAUGGGUAGGUCGUUUAAGCUGUGCAGCAAUGUACAGAUCAGAUUAAUGAUAGAAACUUUGGCAACGAAGUACAGAACCCGGCUUACAGUUUUGCUGCUGAU
rnacentral:RNase_P_RNA from 1 species